CACAGACUAAAUUCAGAAAGCUAUGCUACAGAGGGGAAACUGAAAGUGAGAGAUCUGUAUCAGAAGAAAGCAGCAGUAACAGCAAGUUAUCCCCCAGUGAAAGCAACAGUCUCUAACAACCUUGGAAUGCUAAUGCCCGGGGAGAGGAUAGUACUAGAUACUUCAUCAGGAACUGGCCUGUACCAAAAAGGAAAAAAAUAAUGUCUUUGUUACCUGCGUUGUCACUGCUGAGGGUUUAAAGCUAUGAAAGAAUAAAUCAUCUGUGCCUGAAUCUCCUGA